AUUGAACGCUGGCGGCAGGCCUAACACAUGCAAGUCGAGCGGAUGAAGGGAGCUUGCUCCUGGAUUCAGCGGCGGACGGGUGAGUAAUGCCUAGGAAUCUGCCUGGUAGUGGGGGAUAACGUCCGGAAACGGGUGCUAAUACCGCAUACGUCCUGAGGGAGAAAGUGGGGGAUCUUCGGACCUCACGCUAUCAGAUGAUCCUAGGUCGGAUUAGCUAGUUGGUGGGGUAAAGGCCUACCAAGGCGACGAUCCGUAACUGGUCUGAGAGGAUGAUCAGUCACACUGGAACUGAGACACGGUCCAGACUCCUACGGGAGGCAGCAGUGGGGAAUAUUGGACAAUGGGCGAAAGCCUGAUCCAGCCAUGCCGCGUGUGUGAAGAAGGUCUUCGGAUUGUAAAGAACUUUAAGUUGGGAGGAAGGGCAGUAAGUUAAUACCUUGCUGUUUUGACGUUACCAACAGAAUAAGCACCGGCUAACUUCGUG
rnacentral:rRNA from 1 species